rnacentral:misc_RNA from 1 species
GAUGAAGAACGUAGCGAAAUGCGAUAAGUAGUGUGAAUUGCAGAAUUCAGUGAAUCAUCGAGUCUUUGAACGCACAUUGCGCCCCCUGGUAUUCCGGGGGGCAUGCCUGUCCGAGCGUCAUUGCUGCCCUCAAGCACGGCUUGUGUGUUGGGCCCCGUCCCCUCCACCGGGGACGGGCCCGAAAGGCAGCGGCGGCACCGCGUCCGAUCCUCGAGCGUAUGGGGCUUUGUCACCCGCUCUGUAGGCCCGGCCGGCGCCAGCCGACACCCAACUUUUAUUUCUAAGGUUGACCUCGGAUCAGGUAGGGAUACCCGCUGAACUUAAGCAUAUCAAUAAGCGGAGGA